UAUAAAAAAAUUUCUUUAAGAGUUUGAAGAGGAAGGGUGAUGAGCCUGCUGUUGAUGCUACCCAGGAGAAGAUUGCCAAGCUCAAGGAGGUUGCUGCUGAGAAGCUAGAGGAGGCUUUGCCCAGUGAACCUGCAAACGAAGCUGAGGCAAUUGCCCCCGAAGCUACAGCUUAAAUCAGCCGUUGAUCUCCGCACAAAUGGCAGCCAAGUGAAUCAUGUAUAUCUGACCUGUACAUAGAAAAUUUUUAGUCCUGUUAUGUAAAUUCAGAAUCUGAGCGGAUUUAAUUUUUCUUGAACCUGACCUUUAAUUAACCAGCUUUAAUCUUAAAAUUAGACGAACCAGAAUUGUAAGACGAGUAUAAAUAAAAAAUAUCUUUUGUAUUA